rnacentral:rRNA from 1 species
UACGUAGGGCGCGAGCGUUGUCCGGAAUUAUUGGGCGUAAAGAGCUCGUAGGCGGUUUGUCGCGUCGUUCGUGAAAACCUGCAGCUCAACUGCAGGCUUGCGGUCGAUACGGGCAGGCUAGAGUUCGGUAGGGGAGACUGGAAUUCCUGGUGUAGCGGUGAAAUGCGCAGAUAUCAGGAGGAACACCAGUGGCGAAGGCGACACACUGGCUCACUACUGACGCUGAGGCGCGAAAGCGUGGGGAGCAAACAGG